rnacentral:rRNA from 1 species
AAGCUCGUAGUGAAUUUCGAAUGUGGCUGGGCGGUCCGCCUCACGGUGUGUACUGUCUGGCUGUGUUCUCUUUCUUGGUGAGCCGGCAUGCCCUAUACUGGGUGUGUUGGGGAACCAGGACGUUUACCUUGAAAAAACUUAGAGUGUUCAAAGCAGGCCUACGCCCGAAUACAUUAGCAUGGCAUAAUAAAAUAGGACGUGCGGUUCUAUUUUGUUGGUUUCUAGAGCCGCAGUAAUGAUUAAUAGGGAUAGUUGGG